AAGAAGAAGUUUGUGAGAGUGAAGAACCGUGAGAGAGAGGAAGUAUGUGAAGAGAAAAGGUGAUUUUUGAAGGAGAUAAAGGGGAAAGAAGAUGGAAUCAAGAGUUUGAGACUUUCAUAGGCUUGGAUUCCAAGAUUUCCUCAGGAUUGAGGUUUGAGCUUGGAUUAAAGUGUGGAGAUAGGAGGAGAGGUGGGUGAGCUAAGGAUUGAAGAUUUGGGGCAAGGUUAUUGAACUUGGAAGAUUGGGGGCUAGAGUUGUGGUGAGAUUUUGCUCAAACGAGGUGAUAUAGGUACUAGCGCUAGUGCUCCGACUACGGAUCAGCAGGGAGGAGCGUGACGUGGAUGGCCUGGACUUGUGGUGGUUCGUUGUUUUAUUUUGUGUGGUGUUGGUUAGUCUUUGACUUAAUGGUAUAUUAGGAUAUAUACAAGUAUGUAAUGUGUGGGAUAAAUGAAGAUUUUGGAUGGUUAGGCUUGAUGCCUUGGUAUGUAUGUGUGUAUGAUGAUAUAUGUUUGGGAUGAUAUGGCCUGAGGCCCUGGAUAUUUAGUUGGUGGUAUGGGAAUUGUUGGUUUAAAUUGUUAUAUGUUGUGCAGGAGGCAUUCUCCGAUAUACGGGGAGGUGCUGCCGGAUUUUUGUUUAAA